rnacentral:rRNA from 1 species
UACGUAGGGGGCGAGCGUUGUCCGGAUUUAUUGGGCGUAAAGAGCGUGUAGGCGGCCAGGUAGGUCUGCUGUGAAAACUCGAGGCUCAACCUCGAGACGUCGGCGGAAACCAUCUGGCUAGAGUCCGGAAGAGGAGAGUGGAAUUCCUGGUGUAGUGGUGAAAUGCGUAGAGAUCGGGAGGAACACCUGUGGCGAAGGCGGCUUCCUGGCCUGCAACUGACGCUGAGACGCGAAAGCGUGGGGAGCGAACCGG